rnacentral:sRNA from 1 species
UUUUUAUAGAUGACAAAAAAGGAAAAAUGUCAUAUAUUAAUAACCAAAAUGCCUAUGGGGUACAAAAACCAAAUAACCUACAUUCAUUUUCUUCUUUCUGAUGAAACCAAUUUGAUGGAUAUGUUCUUGUACCAUCAUUUGUGUAUGCUUUGUCUUAAAGAAUCAAAGUUAAUUUUUUAAAAUGCUUUUAGGCAUUCCCUGGUGUCAUGCCAAAGGUUCCUAUGUUCACUUGAUUAAGGGUAGAAGUUUAAAAAAGAAAUAUUUUCAGCAGUGAAGGUUGUUGCCAAAUUUAGGAAGUGUCUGGAAUGAAAUAAAUACUGCAUGGAUUGGUUGCUACUAACUUGCUAGACAUUAUUUUUGUGAUGGCUACUAGUAGUUGAACUGUGGCCUUGUGGUGUAGGAGUGCUGUAAUGCCUGGGUGUAAGGGGAUGAUGGUCAGUGAACCACUUACUAGGGCUGCCUGGAGUGAGACUGUUAUAGAAAUGCCUAGACAGUGACAGAUGGCUGUCAUUCUGCACCUGUAUGUUAAUGAUCACCUUGUUGUAGUUCACAAGAUAUUCAGUCAUGGUGUAGUUAAAGAAAUAAUCAGCUAGCUAGAGAGAAAUUCAAGGCACAUAGAAACUGCACUCAGGUGUCAAUCUAGAAUAAUAUGCUACCUUGUGAAAUACAGUGGUUUAGAAUGAAAAGAUGCCCAAAGGUUAAGUUCACUGAAUAUUUUUUUCUAUUCAAAAGACAUUAAAGGAUGCUGAUGGGAACGCUGUUGAAAGUCGCAUAUAUAUAAAAUUUGCCAUAGGCUGACUAAGAUUUGUUGUGUUUCAUUAUUUCGAUAGAAAAAUAUAAUUUUUUUUUUAAUUUAAAAUUGUGGUUCAAAAUCAACAACCAGCAUUUUCUAAAUCAAUUAUUACAGAGGGGAAAAAAUGACGUUGAAAAUUUAAUAAUUGCCUUUUUGCUUGAUAUGGCACAGUUUGGCAGGGUUUUUUGGAGCCUUCAAAACCACAGGGUCAAACUUAAAAGCACAUUUCAUGGUGAGAGUCUCAAGUGUUGGAUGGUUUCAAAAUUUCUCCUAGGAGAAAUUGAGAUAUGAGAGCUUUCAUUAGCCCUGCAGAUCUCUGCCAAUCAACAGGCACUACAAACAGUUUCAGGAACUGUAAAAA